UAGUAAGCGGUCGGGUAAAGCGAGCUGUUUGUUGCGUCUAGGUUUGGUUCUGUGUAGAACGGUCGUUUAAGGGACAAUAAAGCGUAUGAAAGUGGGGAAAUUUUCAACUAAAAGGAAGGGAAGAAAAGAGUAAAGAACAUUUAAGAAUAGAAACUGUCUAUAUUAACCAUUUACAGUAGUACAGUCAAACGAUUAGUAUGAACCACGUGGUCUUGAGUUUAAUGGAGACGCCUGGUCGCUCAAUAUAUUAAACGAAAAUACUUAUUAAAUUUAAAGUACUAGGUUAUUAUAAUUAAAGCACAUGCAAUAGUUAAAUCUCUUCAAAAAAAAAACCCCUCUCCCUUCACGUCUAAUGUUGCAUCAAAUCACCUACCCCUCUAGCAAUUAAAAGUGUCCACCAACCCGCGCAUGGAGUAUGUUCGCGAUGCACGAAACGUGCCAUCCGUCAAAUUGUGGACGCUCAAUUACAAACCAUUUCUCAACGUCCACCGAAACUCUUCCGUGCAGUGUCGUCGGCCCAAAGGCCCGUUGUACCUGGUGCAGUGAAAAUUGACAUUUCCUUCCUGCCCAAGCGUUCGCAUUCGCACACCUGGCGCCAGUCGAUCCGGGCGAGCCGGGAACGGGACGGAGCAUUGGAGCAAGUGAGCGGCAAGAUGUUCUGCACCGACAGCAACUGCAACUGCUCUAGCAGCUUAAUUAAUGUCAGUCGAGUGCCAUCUGUCAAGUGUCCUGCAGAGGGGGAUUGAGUAGUGGAGAGUGCGGUGUGUGUGUGCGGUGAGCGCUGGCCUGGAGGAAUAGUUGGAACAUGGUGUUGGAAUGACGCCGUACCACCUUCGCUGAACGAUUGGGCUCCGCAGCACACCCGGAGCGGUUUGUUCCCGAGAAUGAGGCCAAUUAUGGUGCGAGAAGCAUUCAUCAUCCCAUCCCUUUCUCUGCUUCGUGCAACAACUAAACCCGCAAAGUUGGAAAAGUUCCACUGCAAUGGUGCACAGACACGAGCACAAACACACUUUCUGGGAACGGCGCGCAACACAGCGACCGUUUCCGGAACGGAGCAACUCUUAACAUUAUCCAUCCCCCCCUCUCGAGGGUACUGCGGGCGUCCGCGCACAAUCUUCGCAAGAAUUGGUGUCCGAUUAACAAGAACGAAGCCCCACCCGCCCAUAAUUGUACGGGAGGCGCCACGUAUUUGAAAUCGAAUUUUCCACCAGAAUGCGGCGAAGUAACAGCGUGUGUGUGAUCGACGAAAUGAAAAGGAAAUACCGAAUCAUCAUCUUCAACUUUAAAUCUUUUCAGUUUUUAUUUGCUCUCUGCUCUCUGCUGUCAGACAGAAGAAUCGAAUCUACCUAACCCCUAGAUCUAUGUGUAAUCUUUUUACGCCAAUAAUGUUAUUAAUUGGUACGAUAAUAAAAAUAGUAUAAUAUA